GUAGGUGGCAAGCGUUGUCCGGAAUUAUUGGGCGUAAAGCGCGCGCAGGCGGUCCUUUAAGUCUGAUGUGAAAGCCCACGGCUCAACCGUGGAGGGUCAUUGGAAACUGGGGGACUUGAGUACAGAAGAGGAAAGCGGAAUUCCAAGUGUAGCGGUGAAAUGCGUAGAGAUUUGGAGGAACACCAGUGGCGAAGGCGGCUUUCUGGUCUGUAACUGACGCUGAGGCGCGAAGGCGUGGGGAGCAAACAGGGAUUAGAUACCCUGGUAGUCCACGCCGUAAACGAUGAGUGCUAAGUGUUAGGGGGUUUCCCGCCCCUUAGUGCUGCAGCUAACGCAUUAAGCACUCCGCCUGGGGAUACGGCCGCAAGGCUG
rnacentral:rRNA from 1 species